UACGGGGGGGGCAAGCGUUGUUCGGAAUUACUGGGCGUAAAGGGCUCGUAGGCGGCCAACUAAGUCAGACGUGAAAUCCCCAGGCUCAACCUGGGAACUGCGUCUGAUACUGGAUGGCUUGAAUCCGGGAGAGGGAUGCAGAAUUCCAGGUGUAGCGGUGAAAUGCGCAGAUAUCAGGAGGAACACCGAUGGCGAAGGCGGCUCGCUGGGACGGUACUGACGCUGAGGCGCGAAAGCGUGGGGAGCAAACAGG
rnacentral:rRNA from 1 species